AAAGUUGUAGCUCAGCGGUAGAAAAAUCUGCUUUGCACACAGAAGGCCCUAGAUUCAAUCCCUGGCAACUUCA